UACGGAGGGUGCAAGCGUUGUCCGGAUUUAUUGGGUUUAAAGGGUGCGUAGGCGGUUUUUUAAGUCAGCGGUGAAAGCCUCCAGCUUAACUGGAGAAAUGCCAUUGAUACUGGGAAACUUGAGUACAGACGAGGUAGGCGGAAUUGACAGUGUAGCGGUGAAAUGCAUAGAUAUUGUCAAGAACACCGAUUGCGAAGGCAGCUUACUAGACUGUAACUGACGCUGAGGCACGAAAGUGUGGGGAUCAAACAGG
rnacentral:rRNA from 1 species